AGAUUUAUAGUUUAAAUAAAACAUAAGCCUUCAAAGCUUAAAAUGGAUAAUUAGUUUUAAAUCUG
rnacentral:tRNA from 1 species